rnacentral:tRNA from 1 species
UAUGGGCGAUUAGCUCAGUUGGUAGAGCAACAGACUAAUAAUCUGUUGAGCUGGAGAUGAAUAUGGGUGAAGUCAACGGUUGAUAAACGGGAUGUAAAUAAUAAAAAAAGCUGGUGAUCCCGAGAGGAUUCGAACCUCUGACCCACAG